UUGGAGGGCAAGUCUGGUGCCCGCAGCCGCGGUAAUUCCAGCUCCAAUAGCGUAUAUUAAAGUUGUUGCAGUUAAAAAGCUCGUAGUUGAAUUUCGGGGUUAGUAGGUUGGUCAUGCCUCUGGUAUGUACUGGUCUCACUGAUUCCUCCUUCCUGAUGAGCCGUAAUGCCAUUAAUUUGGUGUUGCGGGGAAUUUGGACUGUUACUUUGAAAAAAUUAGAGUGUUUAAAGCAAGCUAACGCUUGAAUACAUUAGCAUGGAAUAAUGAAAUAGGACGUUCGAUCCUAUUUUGUUGGUUUCUAGGAUUGACGUAAUGAUUAAUAGGGAUAGUUGGGGGCAUUAGUAUUCAAUUGUCAGAGGUGAAAUUCUUGGAUUUAUUGAAGACUAACUACUGCGAAAGCAUUUGCCAAGGAUGUUUUCAUUAAUCAAGAACGAAAGUUAGGGGAUCGAAGACGAUCAGAUACCGUCGUAGUCUUAACCAUAAACUAUGCCGACUAGGGAUCGGAUGAUGUUAAUUUUUUAAUGACUCAUUCGGCGCCUUACGGGAAAC
rnacentral:rRNA from 1 species